rnacentral:rRNA from 1 species
GUAUCUAAAAAAGUUUGUUUUGCUCACUAAUAAUGACAAUUAAAUGGCCGCGGUAACACUGACUGUGAAAAUGUAGCGCAAUCAAUUGUCAAUUAAUUGUUGACCGGUAUGAAUGGUGUCACGAAAGUUCUUCUGUUUUAAAAAAACACUCAAGGAAAUUGAAUUUGUAGUGAAGAUGCUACAUUAAAGUGGUUAGACGAGAAGUCCCCAUGGAGCUUUACUGAAAGCCUAAAAGAAAUUUUUUUCAUUUAUUUAUCGGCUAGACAGUUUUGUUGGGGUGAUAGUUUUUUAAAAAGUAACGAAAACGAACUAUGACGCAUGUUUCACUCUGAAAACUGGAAGAGACAUUUUGGGUGUGUUUUAUGAUCUAUUGUUUUGAAUGAAAAAGAUAAUGAAAGCAGAUAAAAGUUACCCUGGGU